rfam:Bacterium G20 isolate G20 NODE_33_length_2678_cov_3.47746, whole genome shotgun sequence.
UAAAUUGCUUGUUAGUUACCAAAGACAGUAGCUGUUGAGCGAAGCGAAAUCCUGAGUAUUAUCGAAGGACCGCCGAAACGAAACUUAAUCCGCUACCGAGGUUGAACGAAGUGAAAUCCUGAGCAAAGUCGAAGGAUUACAAAAAAGUUUAAUAAAUCUUUGGUAUUUAUAAGGCCAAAGAUUUUUUUAUGCCGAC